CCGAUGACCUCUCCUCCCUUAUCACCACCCUUCAACGUGACCAGGCUAAUACAAUCGGAGCUCUCCACCAAAAACUACAAGUAUUUCUAGGUAUUGAGUUGACUCAGACGAGCAAUUUGAUUCUAAGCAAAUUGUUGUUAUCUAGUUAAAACCAAUUUCAAUGGUUAACAUCAGUCUAAUUAAUACAACUAAUUUGCAGUUCCAGAUUUCAUGAUUAUCUUGAGGAUUUUACUAAGUUGUGACAUAUUGAGCAUGCAACGCAUAGAAGUUUUGCCGAG
rnacentral:lncRNA from 1 species